rnacentral:lncRNA from 1 species
CCAUACAUUCACAUUCUUCUUUUUGACCCCCCUGAAGAAGGCCUUUGAGGCUGAAACGCGUUGGGGCUAUGUUUGUCCAUUUAGACAUGUCAUAAAAAUAAAGGCAUUUUAACUUGACAAGAGAAUGCAUUGGUUUGUCUGUACUUUGACUGUAAAAAUCCUAUUCAAUCUCUUUAGGUAAUUUAUGUGCCAACUGAAAGGUGUCCUUCUCCCGUUCUUCGCUGUGGUUUGGCACUUCUCCUUGGGGCAUUCCUUAGGUUCCUAAGGAAGAUAUAAAUGCUGACAAAAAGCACCAAACUAAACUGCAGACUGCUCAGAGCUGAGCUGAGUGACGUUGCGCUGUGGUUCACACCUGUCUCUCGUGGUUCAAAAUAUAUGACUAUAGUGCCAUUUAUUAUGCUACUCAUAGUCGCUGAGCUCAAACCCAGAACUGAAGCCGUCUGCGGGGCUGUGACCUGAACAAACUGUCGCUGAAGUUCCAAGAAAGGGAGCUAUAUUUUAGGUUCAUAUGAAAAAGCUGUUUAAAAGACUGGCCCAAGACUCUGGACUCUCAUAGGCCUAAUGGAGAACAGUCCUGCCCACGUCUGGGUUCUGUAAGUAUAUUUUCCAUUAAUUUAAUAAUA